CCACUGAAGAAGAUAGUGGACGAACGGGUGAGUAACACGUGGGUAACCUGCCCAUAAGAGGGGGGAUAACAUCCGGAAACGGGUGCUAAUACCGCAUAGUUUUCUUGAUCGCAUGAUCGGGAAAGGAAAGACGGCCUUUGUGCUGUCGCUUAUGGAUGGACCCGCGGCGUAUUAGUUAGUUGGUGAGGUAACGGCUCACCAAGACGAUGAUACGUAGCCGACCUGAGAGGGUGAUCGGCCACAUUGGGACUGAGACACGGCCCAAACUCCUACGGGAGGCAGCAGUAGGGAAUCUUCCGCAAUGGACGAAAGUCUGACGGAGCAACGCCGCGUGAGUGAAGAAAGGUUUUCGGAUCGUAAAACUCUGUUGUCAGAGAAGAACAAGUUGGAGAGUAACUGCUCCAGCCUUGACGGUAUCUGACCAGAAAGCCACGGCUAACUACGUGCCAGCAGCCGC
rnacentral:rRNA from 1 species